CUACAAUAAUACUAAUGUGCGGAUAUGCAAAUGAGCUCGCUCCGUUGAUAUCGGUCCGAUUACAUCUGAUAUCGGUCCGUUCCCAUCGAAAGUUCUUGCACGAACUCCGCAAAAACUGCUACACCCCUUGAACUGAGCUUCGGUAGUUCGGUUCCUCUGGGGUUGCGAUUGUGUGGAAAGGUCUCGAAUCUUCGUUUGCUCGCUUCCCUCGCUCCGAAUUUGCGACGUGUCUUCUCUCAAUGGGCCUUGCUCAACGAGGCCAUUUUCUUUGCUAACGCUUCGCUCUCUUUGUUUGUCUUUUCAAAGACUUUUUCUAGCGCUUUCCUGGAUGUUUUGAAAACGUCGAUUGUCAUCCAGUCAGUAGUUGUUGAUUGAAAACCUUGACCUUUGAUUCUAGAGCGAAUAUCCCUUUUCAUCCCUAACUUUUUUGAAAGAGAUCGAGUACCUUUUCAAAGGAUUUUUCAAAACAUUUCCUCCCUCCCUUUGAUGGGUAAAAUACUGGCUUUUGCGUUCGCGUUUCUAAAGGUUCUUUCUCUCUCUUUUCUCUUGCUCUCUACAAAAAGUUUCAAAACUUCUUCCUCCAGCAACCCUUCAAUUUGAACGGAGGCUUUUCAAAUUCGUUUCGCUUUCCACAAAGAAGCUACUGUGUGCCGAUAAUUUCGGUGAUUUGGAAUUGGAUAAAUCUACGUGCACUGCUGCUUGGCAUUCCUUUUCGAACUCGAAGCGGUUGUCGACGGUCGUGUUCUGUGCUACAGUGCUACAGUUACAGCUACAGUUACAGCUACAGCUACAGCUACAGCUACAGCUACAGUAGCUACGCACACUGCUGCCCGUUUUUUGGUUUUGCAAUGGCUGCUGGCUGUUCCACUUCUUCACUGGUAUCAGAAUCGAUGGCAUGCGAAUACAAAUAAACGAUCGGAUUCGCUGACUUUUUGGUUCAACAAAUCAAAGAUCGUUUCAAGCAAUAAUUAUGACCCAGACGUGAUUCUUGACUGUGGAGAAAAGGACUAAAGUUAUAUAGAUUAGCUGUUGUCCGUAAAUUGUAUUUUGUUAAUUUGUUGUUGGAGUAAGAAUCAUUUCUGAUGCACGAAACUUUGGCUGUUUUCUAUCUUUCCAUUUCUUAAGUGCUUUGUUGCUGCAGUGUUUCAAAAGCUAAUUGUGACGAAGAUAUGAUAUGUGGACCUCAAAUGUAUAGAACU